UGCGUAGGCGGCUAUGUAAGUCAGUGGUGAAAUACUGCCGCUCAACGGUAGAACUGCCAUUGAUACUGCAUCUCUUGAGUAUGGUUGAGGUAGGCGGAAUGUGUUGUGUAGCGGUGAAAUGCAUAGAUAUGACACAGAACGCCAAUUGCGAAGGCAGCUUACUAAACCAUUACUGACGCUGAGGCACGAAAGCGUGGGGAGCGAACAGGAUUAGAUACCCUGGUAGUCC
rnacentral:rRNA from 1 species